rnacentral:sRNA from 1 species
AUAAUAUAUAUAAAAUGUAUAUAUAAUUUUUAUAAAACAUUUAAAGCAGCCCUUUGUCUAACAACCCUUACAACUCUUACAAUUUUCACUUGAAAAUACUUCUAAUGAACACAAUGGCAUUGUGUUAAACUCAAGGAACGCAACAAAUAAUUAAAUAAUUCAUGCCGUUGUCUGAAAGAAAAUCUCAACUUUUCACUCACGAAAAACUCUUCAUACUGCUGAUCUCUUUAAGAAUUCAUAAACUCAGUUGGUUUGUUUUCUAGUACGGGACUAGACUUUCGUUUCGGAUUUGAAUUUAUGAUGGCUUUGACCGAAAUAUGAACAUGGAAAAUUAUUAUUCACAAUGGACACAGUUGUCUGCCUAAUUUAAUAUGCGAAUCAGAGAAGGAAUUUCAUUUCCUAUGACCGAAAAUUGGGUAAAAGAGAGAAAAUCAAUUGACCAUCGAUACGAAAGAACCCACAAUCGACGACGUUGCUACAAUUGACCAUUUCUGGCAGCGUAGCUUUGCCGCACUGCCCCAUGAUGAAGCUCGAAAUGUGGUCCUCAGGUUCCAACAUGUACAUCAAAGAUAAAUUGCCUGAUUUUCGAGGCUUUCGACGGCAGAAUUUAAGUGAAACAUCAAAGCUGUGACUAAGACAAGAGAGCUUAGUUACUGUCAGCAAGCCAAUUAGUUAGCCAGUGUCAUGCAUUUUUCGUUGAAAAGGUUAAAGAGAGGAUGCCAAGGACACUCGCCACUGCGCCUUAAAGUCCCUGGCAAACAGCAAUUUCAAUUAGUUCAAUUACACAACUGCAACAGGAGCCCAAGUCAAGGGUGUAAUGCACCGCAGCCAACGAAGGCCAACGGCAGCAGCAACCCUUUUUGCCUUUGAUGCCACCACCACCCCUGAUGGCACAUCGAUGGCAACUUUUUGCAAUUAAAACUUGAAACGUGAAAGACAAUAAAAAUCAAUUAUCUUUAAUAAACGGACAGCGACCCAGCAGCCGCAGCAGCUGGUCAGUCAGGCUUACCAAAAAGGUAAAACGAGCAUCGCGGAAAAGCCAAAAAAUUCAAGAUGUAUAUAGCAGCAACCCCGAAUUUCCAUUGCAUUUAAUUAGGAACUGGAUUCGGGAAAAAGCAUGUGUGGCAGUGCACUUUGACCAUUGCAUCCGUUCCAUUAGAUGGACCCCUUUUUUACGUGCAGGUUAGAAAUCUAGUCCAGAGUAUGGGUUACCAUUUUGGGGUUGCAUGCGGGCUUGUGCGGCCUCGAGACACGCACCACCAAAAAUGGCUUGUGAUUUUUUCCCGAAUACAUCAUUGGCAACUGGAGUGGAGUACAGUGGAGUGGCUGCCAAGGAUGCAUCGUCCGCUGGUCAGACUGCAGUCUGCCUGCCAGCUCGCCUGCUCUAUUUAUAACUGUCUGGAUGGAUAGAUGGAUGACUGGAUGGCUGGGUGGAUGGGAUGGUGGAGGAUGCAGUAGGAUGAUGGGAUGUUGGGAUGUUGGUCUGGCUGGGCGGGGUCUGGAUGCAGAAUUUAUUUGCCAUGACCAUGUCGGAGUACGGAGCGUGUGGAUGUGGAUUUUCGAUGCUGCAGCAUGCGUCAUGCUGCCAGACGCAUCGGCGGCUGUGAAAGUCGCGUUUUUGGUGACGAUGUAGCUGCCACCAAACGUAUUGCCCGCUGACCCUUUCAGUUUAAAUGGAAAAAAAAUGGGAAACGUGCGUCUGGGGGAAAAGUGCAAAUGACAGACGUGUAUGCUGAUGUUGACGAUUUUAUCAGAUGCCAGACGAAAUUCGGUGGCUGGCGUAUUGCAUCGGACAUGAGAUACAGACCCGAAAGCACAAACAAUCACAAAUGUGAAUUUUGCAAAGCUCGGAAAAUUGCUUGAAUUUUAUUUGGCAUUCAAAUUCUUUACUCGCAUUCCAUUUUGUAAUUUUUAAAGAACAGAACAGGUAGGCAAACUAUCAAAUUGCUUAGAUAAAAAACAAAGUCUCAAAGUUAAACUAUUUUAAAACAUGUUUGUAUAGGCAAAUUUUAAUCAAACCGUGUUUACUUAGCUGAAUUCAACUAUUGCAGCACUAAUUUUAAAGAGAGCCUAAAGCUUGCUUUGCAUCGCAGAAAAUUCCUUCGCAGAUACUUGUUCAAAUUCUAUUAGAUUUCCCUUUCGCUGCUUAGGGGCGGCUUACCCCGUCAUUAGUGGGUCAGAGCUCCAUGAGCCGCAACCCCCUGGCCAAGAAGCAAAGCCGCCCUCUUCAGGGCUGACACGUUGCCUGAUCUUCCACCCUACUUUGGCGAAAGGGCAAGAACUAAAUCGUUUAACCUGCCACACGAUGAGUGGGCCAAAGUUCUCUGGCUUUGCCUCGUUCAUGGGAUUUAGCGCAUCGCAUCCGCCUACGAGUGCACUUAAUCACAUGGAAGAGCAACCAACUGGCGGCCUGCUGCUCCUCCGCCUUUUGGGCACGUACGCAGUUCGGGAUGAAAUGGGAUGGGAUGAGAUGGCUUGGUUUGGGGCAUGGGUCCACAGGUAUCCACAGCUAGCGGUGGAGCCGAAGCGUAAACGAUGCCAAGUGGCAAGCGACAAACGGCUCCAUCCAGUCCAGCUCCAGCGGAUUUUUGCGAAAAAAGGACAGGCGACGAGCGCAACUCUUCAAACGACGAGAAGAUGCUGCUUCAUGUGCUAAUUGCGCUGUCAAGUCAAGUGUGUGCGACGUGCAGCAGCAACAUCGGUACUAGCUGCGUCACACGGAAGCAACAGCUCAAAGGCCACCCACCAACAGAUAUAAAUAUAUACGCAUAUACAUUUAUAUAUAUAUAAUAUAUAUCAUAUAUAGCCAGAUGAGCAAGCCAUUAGGCGUUGUUUGAGCGCAGGCUAAGAGAAAAAUUGUUGCAUACUUUGCGCGGCCGCAAGAAGAGCAUACAACUCGCUUUCGCUCUCUCUCCACUCACUCUUUUGGCAUUUUCUCAUUAUCCGCCGGCAACACAACAAGAAUUUUCCGCAAGGAAAAACGCCCGCCGAAAUUAAGUAAUAUUCCUGAGCUAGCGAUGCGACCAAUUCGCCAAGAAUCGAUAAACCAUCGAACGCGCUGCCUGUUUAUCAUGUGCUCCGAACUUUAUUAACGCCUGCCUGCCUUUGCCAGGCUUCAACAUUUUUAUCGAAACGAGCGCAGAUAAGCGCCGGCUAACGAGAGUUUUCCCAGCCAGCCAGCCACCGCCGCUGGGGAAAAUCGAUUUUUCCAGCCCUUAACGCAACAAGAGCAGCAACAAUUGCUGCUGCUGAUGCUCUGCUGUUGAUGUUGCUGCUGCUGCAUUUGGAAUUGCUGUUGCUGCAGGCGGCGUGGGUGAGAACACAAGUUCGGGCUGUGGAAAAUUACAAUGGUUGCCGGCGGCCAGGAAAAGCUGCAAGCUAAUUGCAACGCAAGCUCCAACGUAGCUGCAAACACAAAUUUACUCGGCAUAUUGCAAUAUAAUCGAGUAUGCAUUUGUAAACCCUUCAAUAAACCAUAUUUUUGAGAUAUACCUAUUUUAGAAUUUCACGAUUGAUUUCGAAAUAAAAUCAUCCUGAAUAGUAGGUACUUUCUCUCGGCACUAGAACCUAAAUCCCCAUUAUGAAGUAUUAAUGCCACCGUAAAGAAAACUUUUACAAAACCGAUAUUGAAUAUAAAAAAGGCUCUAUCGCCGAUAAAACUGUACGAUAUCGUGGACAGACUCGCAAUCGCGACUCCCCGAUAAGCUCCAUGCAUUUCGGGCGCUUCAACCCCCAAUUCGAAAAACUUUAUCACAAUCAGCGCAGCAACUACCACCAUCACUACAGCGGAUUUAUCAGCAGUGCUAGCCGCCCCUGACGUCCAUGGCCACCCAUCAAAAGAAUACACACAAGGGAUCAGGAAGCGGGAAAAGGUAGUGAGGGCUGAUUGAGCGGGUGCCCGAAAAUACCCAUUAAUACAGGAAUCGCAUCUGAUAAGGGUGGCUACGGUGGAUCACCCACCCAACCGAGCUUUGUUGGCCGAUGGAAAGGUGGGAUCUGCACUGCAAAUUUCUUCUACGGACAGAGAAUCUAGUUCAUAACACACUAUGCAGAUUUGAAGUUUUAUUUUAUUCAGUUAUAGAACCUGAGGAUUAAACGAAUUUUAGAAACUA